rnacentral:rRNA from 1 species
UACGUAGGGUGCGAGCGUUGUCCGGAAUUAUUGGGCGUAAAGAGCUCGUAGGCGGUCUGUUGCGUCCGCUGUGAAAACUCGGGGCUUAACCCCGAGCCUGCAGUGGAUACGGGCAGACUAGAGGUAGGUAGGGGAGAAUGGAAUUCCUGGUGUAGCGGUGAAAUGCGCAGAUAUCAGGAAGAACACCGAUGGCGAAGGCAGGUCUCUGGGCCACUACUGACGCUGAGAAGCGAAAGCAUGGGGAGCGAACAGG